UAGCUCACUGGUCGAGUCGGCCUGCGCGGAAGAUGUAACGGGGCUAAACCAUGCACCGAAGCUGCGGCAGCGACACUUAUGCGUUGUUGGGUAGGGGAGCGUUCUGUAAGCCGUUGAAGGUGUCCUGUGAGGGUUGCUGGAGGUAUCAGAAGUGCGAAUGCUGACAUAAGUAACGAUAAUGCGGGUGAAAAGCCCGCACGCCGGAAGACCAAGGGUUCCUGUCCAACGUUAAUCGGGGCAGGGUGAGUCGACCCCUAAGGCGAGGCCGAAAGGCGUAGUCGAUGGGAAACAGGUUAAUAUUCCUGUACUUGGUGUUACUGCGAAGGGGGGACGGAGAAGGCUAUGUUAGCCGGGCGACGGUUGUCCCGGUUUAAGCAUGUAGGCGGAAAGUUUAGGUAAAUCCGGACUUCUUUUAACGCUGAGGUGUGAUGACGAGGCACUACGGUGCUGAAGUAACAAAUGCCCUGCUUCCAGGAAAAGCCUCUAAGCAUCAGGUAACAUCAAAUCGUACCCCAAACCGACACAGGUGGUCAGGUAGAGAAUACCAAGGCGCUUGAGAGAACUCGGGUGAAGGAACUAG
rnacentral:rRNA from 1 species